UAGGGAAUCUUCGGCAAUGGGGGGAACCCUGACCGAGCAACGCCGCGUGAGUGAAGAAGGUUUUCGGAUCGUAAAGCUCUGUUGUUAAGGAAGAACGAGUGUGAGAAUGGAAAGUUCAUGCUGUGACGGUACUUAACCAGAAAGGGACGGCUAACUACGUGCCAGCAGCCGCGGUAAUACGUAGGUCCCGAGCGUUGUCCGGAUUUAUUGGGCGUAAAGCGAGCGCAGGCGGUUAGAAAAGUCUGAAGUGAAAGGCAGUGGCUCAACCAUUGUAGGCUUUGGAAACUGUUUAACUUGAGUGCAGAAGGGGAGAGUGGAAUUCCAUGUGUAGCGGUGAAAUGCGUAGAUAUAUGGAGGAAUACCUGUGGCGAAGGCGACUUACUGGACACAAAUCUGACGCUGAGGAACGAAAGCGUGGGUAGCAAACAGG
rnacentral:rRNA from 1 species